rnacentral:rRNA from 1 species
UACGAAGGGGGCUAGCGUUGCUCGGAAUCACUGGGCGUAAAGCGCACGUAGGCGGAUUGUUAAGUCAGGGGUGAAGUCUCGUGGACUCAACUCCAGAACUGCCUUUGAUACUGGCGAUCUCGAGUCCGGGAGAGGUGAGUGGAACUGCGAGUGUAGAGGUGAAAUUCGUAGAUAUUCGCAAGAACACCAGUGGCGAAGGCGGCUCACUGGCCCGGUACUGACGCUGAGGUGCGAAAGCGUGGGGAGCAAACAGGG